rnacentral:lncRNA from 1 species
AAUGACCACUUUUACUAGACCAAAGAUCUUAGCUUUUCUUUUCUUUUUUGCUUCAUUGAUUCAUUCUUUUUUCUUUUCUGUGAAUAUUGAAAAGACGGUAUAGGAUAUGAUUUAUUCAUAUGAUUCAUUAGUUUUCACCUUGUUUUUUUUUUGGUUAUGUACAACCUAGGGGAAAAGAUGGUAUAGGAUUUGAUUUAUUCAUAUGAUUCAUUAGUUUUCACCUUGUUUUUUUUUUGGUUAUGUACAACCUAGGAUUUGAUUUACCAGAGCUGUAAAGACUAAAGAGCAUUUCUUACAGUCUCUUUAGACAUAAUACAGCAAAUGGGGAACUUGUUCAUGAAGCAAAAGCUUGAAUUGAAAUCACAGUCCUGGAAUUGUUCUACAGCAGCCAUUUUUGACUUAAACCAGACAAAGCACAGAAGAAGGAAUCAUGUGUAAGUAACCUUUUGAAGUGAAAACCCGACAAAUUCAAAUCCUUGAUGUUUUCAAGAACAUUGAUCCUUUCCAAUGAACUGAUGUUAGCGCAUGCAUGGAAUAAAAAUAUAGGU